GAGUUGCAUUCGACCAGAGAAGAGUAUAUGCGGAGGGUGUGUGUGCAGGCGGGAGCGGGGUGUGCGUCCAGGCCACCCCACCAAGGUGUCACUGUACCUGGGGACAUGAGUGAACCUCAGCAACAAGGUUCAUGCGGAAAGUCCGCGCCUUGCGCACCUUCGCCGCCUCCACGUCCUCUGUGAACUUGAGCGGGCUGCGACCUCAUGACCAUCCAUCGGUGCCUCCAGAGGCUGGAGUAAUGUAUCUGUGGAGGAAUUUGCAUACCACAGAAGGUCACACUGCGUGCCGGAACGCACCAAGAGUGGAAUAAAGUUCAUCACGUUACAGUUUAUCUUUCUCCUCUUACCGCAGUACGACACCUCUGCUUUCAGAUCAUAUUCUAUUGCUAGUUUUCUUUCCACGGCCAUGGGCGCGAAUACUAUAGUAAAAACACUGUGAAUGCUGCUCUUACUCUCAGCAAUGUUCCCUUGCUGUGCUUUCUAUUUAUUAUUCUUAACACUAGUAUUACUGGGCAUUUAAUUAUAUGUCCAUAUACAGUAUAUUAAUGAAUGAGAGUAGGGAGGGUGGCACAAAUUCCCUUUCACUAUUAAUACAGAGUUUUAGAAGUUGCAUAUUGAAGAAGCUGUAAAAUGCGUGUUUAAGAUUUUUUGGACGUUUUGUGUGUUCCAUAUUUCUGCAAACGCGGUCUGCUUUUGAAACUAAAUGACGCAAACAAGGGAUUGGAGCCCAAAUCCAUGUGAACUUUUGCCAAAUAAUGUUUCUAAAACAAUUAAGAUUAAACAAAUGUCUAUCAUAAACUCUAUGGGGGAAAGCAUCGUAGGCUCUCAUAUACGUGUGAAUGCAUGACAUGUUGAUAUGAAAUAAUAUGUAAAAAUUAAUAGAAAUCUUUGGAGACAAAGUCGACUUGCGCGCUUUAUUUUAUCUUUAUCAUGUAC
rnacentral:lncRNA from 1 species